GACGAACGCUGGCGGCGUGCUUAACACAUGCAAGUCGAACGGUGACGAGGAGCUUGCUCCUCCGAUCAGUGGCGAACGGGUGAGUAACACGUGAGUAACCUGCCCCAGACUCUGGGAUAACAGUUGGAAACAGCUGCUAAUACCGGAUACGAGACGGAGAGGCAUCUCUACCGUCUGGAAAGUUUUUCGGUCUGGGAUGGACUCGCGGCCUAUCAGCUUGUUGGUGAGGUAAUGGCUCACCAAGGCGACGACGGGUAGCCGGCCUGAGAGGGCGACCGGCCACACUGGGACUGAGACACGGCCCAGACUCCUACGGGAGGCAGCAGUGGGGAAUAUUGCACAAUGGGCGAAAGCCUGAUGCAGCGACGCCGCGU
rnacentral:rRNA from 1 species